rnacentral:SRP_RNA from 1 species
GCCGGGUGCGGUGGCGCGUGCCUGUAGUCCCAGCUACUCAGGAGGCUGAGGUGGGAGGAUCACUUGAGCCCAGGAGUUCUGGGUUGCAGUGCACUAUGCCGAUCGGGUGUCCGCACUAAGUUCAGCAUCAAUAUGGUGACCUCUCGGGAGCGGGGUACCACCAGGUUGCCUAAGGAGGGGUGAACUGGCCCAGGUUGGAAACGGAGCAAGUCAAAACUCCCGUGCUGAUCAGUAGUGGGAUUGCGCCUGUGAAUAGCCACUGCACUCCAGCCUGGGCAACAUAGCGAGACCUCGUCUCU